ACAUGUAAAUUUUCAGUGGUACAGGGGUAGCAGAUACUGGUACACAAGCCUAGAGUGCCCUCUAGUGGCUGCCCGUGUGAAAAUAAACAUGUGAAAUUAUAUAUUUUAAUGUAUGUCGAACCCGAGUAAAAGUCGCAAACUCGGGCAAAGGAUGGAAAAAAAAUGUGACUUUUAGUCCGGAAAAUCUGGAAAGUUUAAAUUCCUAAAAUAUGUCAAAAAAUUAUAUUUUCUUUUAAUAACUGGGAAGGAAAGAGCUAGGUGAGUCUGACGCAAGCCUCAUUUCUGAGGUGAUGUAGUUACCAUGGUUAACGGGUAACCCUUCUAUAUGUCUAUGUAUAUCAGUAUACAUGAUAUAAUAUAUGUAUUCCUAAUCUGUUAAAUCAUAGGGUAGUUGUGGAUUAAUCAUGAUACAGUAUGAGUAAUAUAGUAGUAUUUCACUUAGCUUUUUCCUCUGUUUAAAAUCAUAUUGAUGCAAAUGCGCCGAUAAUGUGAUUAAAACCAAAUUCCCAUCAACCUCAUUUGGUUAAUAGCUUCCUGUCGGGCGUUUACGGAGAACAGAAAGGAAGUAUUCGAUCAGAAUACAGUCGCGGAGAUUUAGCGGGGUUAGGCGGAUGAGCAGAAAAGUACCCUCGGAAAUAAACCCGUUAUUACGUUUGUGUGAACUUUUCUCCUUUGUUCAUUAAAGAUGCAUGGCAGUGGAAGAAUCGGUGGGUGUUCCGAGGCACCGCGCUAGGCAAUCAGACAGAUUCUGUGGUGCUGUGUGUUUACAGUUAGUCGAAACCCCCCUCCCCGCCCCCCCGCCUACCCCUUUUCUCACAUCACUCGGUUGUAAGAUUGUUUGGUAAAUUCAUCAACAGCUGGCAUCUCGCUGUUUUACAAAAUCCUCUUAAAUUAGUAAUGACGGAUUCUGUUCGCCGUUAAUGUUUUAUUUGUACUGGGUUAUGUGUGGGAUCAAGCAGAGGCAUUUGGGUGGGCUCCCUCCCUCUCUCUCUCUCUGCUAACAUCACUGCAGAUGUGUUGUGGGAGCUUGAAGCCUGUCUUUUUCCCCAGCACCACCUCAGAUGGUGAAACUUAAGAGGAUUGACUUUGUUGCAUGCUGCUCUUGAAAGAGCCACGGCAGCCCACCGAAGAAGCAGAGCAGGAACUUUAGAUUAGUGGUUUUUUUUUUUUUCCACUUUGGAGAAAUGAAGCAGGGCCACGUCCAAAAAUAACACUCGACAUCUGUCACUGACAUCGGAGGCUAGAACACUCGCUCUAAAUGGAUCUUUCCCCCCACCCUCCCCCCCUCUAAUGUCAGCUCAGCCCAUAGCGCCACACACUGCUCUGGGACACCAACUGUAGGAAUGUGUGUCUACUGCUUAUUGCUUCCCACAAUCUCAUCGGCUCACGUCAGCUAUUGUCUUGGUUACGUGCAACUUGCCAGAGUUGAGUCAAUUGCGGUUUUUUUCUUCCCUCCUAAUAGACUCUAUCUCCGUGUUGUGUUCACUGACAGUGUACCAGAAUUUUAAUACUACUAGGCUGUUUUUGUUCAAAGAAAAAUACUUUAGAAAUACCGUGAUUUUAAUUUGAAUGAAAAUAACGAGCAGGAAAAAAA